GUGUGUGUGUGUGUAUGUGUGUGUGUGUGUGAGUGUGUGUUUGUGUGUGUGUGUAAAAAUGAAGAUAAUAAGGGAGUAUUUUUGUCAGGACAGAAUAUAUUGCAUGGAAUUUUUUAGACAUAGUAUCAACAAUGUUGCGUAAUUUAAAGA